UGGGGAAUAUUGCACAAUGGGCGGAAGCCUGAUGCAGCAACGCCGCGUGAGUGAUGAAGGCCUUCGGGUUGUAAAGCUCUGUCUUCUGGGACGAUAAUGACGGUACCAGAGGAGGAAGCCACGGCUAACUACGUGCCAGCAGCCGCGGUAAUACGUAGGUGGCAAGCGUUGUCCGGAUUUACUGGGCGUAAAGGAUGCGUAGGCGGAUACUUAAGUCAGAUGUGAAAAUCCCGGGCUUAACUUGGGAACUGCAUUUGAAACUGGGUAUCUAGAGUGCGGGAGAGGAAGGUGGAAUUCCUAGUGUAGCGGUGAAAUGCGUAGAGAUUAGGAAGAACACCAGUGGCGAAGGCGACUUUCUGGACCGUAACUGACGCUGAGGCAUGAAAGCGUGGGGAGCAAACA
rnacentral:rRNA from 1 species